GCGUGAAAGAGGGAAGAUGGUGAAUGGUGUCAGACGAGGUUUUUGGAAAGCACUUUGAAACGACUGAUGACAUCGAAGUGAGGAGAGUGUGUAUAAUCGAAGCUCUUUGUGCCUACCUAAAUGAAGAACCUACCAGACUGUUUCAGGAGUGUUUUGAUACAGACAAUGCCACUGCAGAGGAGGCAAUCCAGGAUAUAUGGCAUUUAAUAAUUGUUAGACAUCGUUACACUACCAUCUGGACAUUUUGGUUGCAUGUUUGAUUUCUUUUUUUCUUUUUUUUUACUUCUUGUAAAUGUAUUUUAUUUAAUUGUAGUUAUCUUGUUAGCCGAGUUUUAAUUUUCACCUUCUGACUUUGUUUUUGAAUCAAAAGACUGCAAAGUUAUUUUAGAUAAUCUUAUAUUUUGCAUAAGAAUUUUGCACAUGUUCAAAGACUCUUUAAUAUAUUGACUG